rnacentral:lncRNA from 1 species
CGCAAGCAAGAACCAAUCAGCUCUAUGCAGCUGUGUCACGUGUUAAUUUCUUUGAAAAACAUGGCGGCUGUUUGGUGUACCGAGUCGACGACUAUACUCCACGUUAUCGUCGAGAAGAGUAUUGUAGUGACGCGCUCUUUCAUUGCGCAUGAUCACCAGCGUUCAAGCCGCUUCCCACAGCAGUUGCGGCAAGCGACGAAUACGCUUGGUGUAAAUAUCUCAACAGCCGACAUCAGCACUCUACGCGCGACAAACUGUCACUUGUAGACGCGUUGUCUAAAUCGGGCUUAAGAUUUAGUGCUGCAAGGUCC